CGCCGCGGUUGCUAGCUAACGGCGCGCCGACGACGCCGGCAGCGCUGAGGGGUACGGGCUGCGGGCCUGGUUCCGCGGACCCGAGAGCCCCCGGCCCUGCCUGAGACCCCCGCGACUCGCCGCCCUCGAGGGCACUGGGACCUUCGGCGCAGGCGGAGCCGUAGAAGACCAGCGGCCGCAGCUGCCAAGCACUCUCUGCACAGCAGACCCCCGAAGCUGCCUCUUAGCUCCAACUCUUUCCUGCCUGUUCUUCCUCGAACCUACUCCAAUCAGACUUCCACCCGGCCACUUCUCUGAAGCUCUUUAUCAAAGUCAUCCUCAACCUCGAUGCUGCGAAAUCCAGCGACCAGGCUCUCAUCUCCUCCUCCUGUCAGCAGUAGGUGACCCAGAAUGACUGCCUGAGUUCUUGCCAUUACUUCCUGAGCCCAGGCAGGACAAGAAAAAGAGAAGAAGGAUAUAUGCCUUUCCCUUUCAAAGAGACUUUCCAGAAGUCUCACACCCUCCUAUUUCUCAGAAGUCAGGAACUUAGCCAUGUGACCGUACUGCACUGCCGGGGAGGCUGGGAAAUGUCAUCUUUCAGCUGAGCAGCAGUAGGCCCAACUGAAAGUUGAGAUUUGUUACUCAGGGAAGGGGAAGUUGAGAUUGAAGAGUAAGCAGGAAAAUCCCCACCUGGGCUGUGCUUUGAGCAUAAGCCACUGGGGCAGGACUUGGUAGCAGUCCUCAGGAGACUGGCUUUAGUCGUGGGAAAGGAGCAUAUUUUAAUAACAUACAUUUGAGAUCUUAUGCAAAUGAGUCAUCUCUAGUGGCUGAGAACGCUAAGCUGGUUUGUCUGAUGGAACUUAACGUUCCUCAUAUACUCGCAUUUCUGUCAGAAGGAUUGCUAAGGGAAGAGAAGCUCUGCUCCAACCCACCUGCCAAGUUGCCUCAAAUGGGAGAUAGGCAAGCCCUGCCUAGUGGAAUCAAAAAUCAAUAGAAAAAAAAUCAGUAAGCUUGGGAAUUAAAUCCCACCUCCCACAUUUCCUACCCGAAGAUGUAACUGUUUUGACCAAGAUCACAGGCAGGUUUUGGCAGGGAUUCAGAAUCCAAGCAUCCAUUUCCUCAUGCUCACCCUGGCCCACCCGCUCU
rnacentral:lncRNA from 1 species